GGGGGGGGGGGGCGGGGGGGGGGGGGGGGGGGGGGCGGGCGGGGGGGGGCGGGGUGGGGGGGGGGGUCGAGGGGCGAGCGGGGGAGGAACACGGGAGGAACCUGCCCUUGACGUUGGGAUAGCUGCAGGAAACGGGGGCUAAUACCGGAUAGGAGCUCCUGCUGCAUGGUGGGGGUUGGAAAGUUUCGGCGGUUGGGGAUGGACUCGCGGCUUAUCAGCUUGUUGGUGGGGUAGUGGCUUACCAAGGCUUUGACGGGUAGCCGGCCUGAGAGGGUGACCGGCCACAUUGGGACUGAGAUACGGCCCAGACUCCUACGGGAGGCAGCAGUGGGGAAUAUUGCACAAUGGGCGGAAGCCUGAUGCAGCAACGCCGCGUGCGGGAUGACGGCCUUCGGGUUGUAAACCGCUUUCGCCUGUGACGAAGCGUGAGUGACGGUAAUGGGUAAAGAAGCACCGGCUAACUACGUG
rnacentral:rRNA from 1 species